rnacentral:rRNA from 1 species
UCUUUUUCCACCGGAGCUUGCUCCACCGGAAAAAGANGAGCUGGCGAACGGGUGAGUAACACGUGGGUAACCUGCCCAUCAGAAGGGGAUAACACUUGGAAACAGGUGCUAAUACCGUAUAACAAUCNAAACCGCAUGGUUUUGAUUUGAAAGGCGCUUUCGGGUGUCGCUGAUGGAUGGACCCGCGGUGCAUUAGCUAGUUGGUGAGGUAACGGCUCACCAAGGCCACGAUGCAUAGCCGACCUGAGAGGGUGAUCGGCCACAUUGGGACUGAGACACGGCCCAAACUCCUACGGGAGGCAGCAGUAGGGAAUCUUCGGCAAUGGACGAAAGUCUGACCGAGCAACGCCGCGUGAGUGAAGAAGGUUUUCGGAUCGUAAAACUCUGUUGUUAGAGAAGAACAAGGAUGAGAGUAACUGUUCAUCCCUUGACGGUAUCUAACCAGAAAGCCACGGCUAACUACGUGCCAGCAGCCGCGGUAAUACGUAGGUGGCAAGCGUUGUCCGGAUUUAUUGGGCGUAAAGCGAGCGCAGGCGGUUUCUUAAGUCUGAUGUGAAAGCCCCCGGCUCAACCGGGGAGGGUCAUUGGAAACUGGGAGACUUGAGUGCAGAAGAGGAGAGUGGAAUUCCAUGUGUAGCGGUGAAAUGCGUAGAUAUAUGGAGGAACACCAGUGGCGAAGGCGGCUCUCUGGUCUGUAACUGACGCUGAGGCUCGAAAGCGUGGGGAGCAAACAGGAUUAGAUACCCUGGUAGUCCACGCCGUAAACGAUGAGUGCUAAGUGUUGGAGGGUUUCCGCCCUUCAGUGCUGCAGCUAACGCAUUAAGCACUCCGCCUGGGG